rnacentral:rRNA from 1 species
AUGUGGUUUAAUUCGAUGAUACGCGAGGAACCUUACCUGGGCUAGAACGCAUUCGGAAUCAGGCCGAAAGGCCUGCGCCAGCGAUGGCCGCUUGCGAGGUGCUGCAUGGUUGUCGUCAGCUCGUGCCGUGAGGUGUCGGGUUAAGUCCCAUAACGAGCGCAACCCCUACUGCUAGUUGCCAGCGGGUCAUGCCGGGGACUCUAGCGGAACUGCCAGCGUAAGCUGCGAGGAAGGUGGGGAUGACGUCAAAUCAGCACGGCCCUUACGUCCAGGGCUACACACGUGUUACAAUGGCCGGUACAGAGGGCAGCCACCCCGCGAGGGGGCGCGAAUCCCGAAAGCCGGUCCCAGUUCGGAUCGGAGUCUGCAACCCGACUCCGUGAAGCUGGAUUCGCUAGUAAUCGCGCAUCAGCCACGGCGCGGUGAAUACGUUCCCGGGCCUU